UUGGUCUAGAAAGCCUGUAAAAUGGUGCUCAUUAUAAAAAAUGGAACACAGGAAACGGGAAACAAAUAAUUCCUCUAACUCAAUAACUUUGCUUCACUGCUGGUGACAGAACCAAAAGUACAACACCGAUAAAGCCUGACUGAAUCCUGGCACAUCCUCACCGGAGGGAAUGUCAGCGAUCAGGUCAGCGAGGAACCAGGGCAGGGAAAAUACAUCUCCCUAAGCCAUAUCUGAACUAAGCAUCUAAUAUUACAGAAAUAGCAUUUCUGAAAGGAGUUGGGGAUGUCCACUGAUCAACCUUUUAACUGAUCUGAGGUAUUCAUCCUCUCACCUGUCAAUCACCAGUUCAAGAAGCAUUACAUGGGAAUGCUGGGUAAAUU